CUGUGCAGGAGUCAGUCCCAGUCAGGACACAGAAUGGACAUGAGGGUCCCCGCUCAGCUCCUGGGGUUUCUGCUGCUCUUGCUCUCAGGUGCCAGAUGUGACAUCCAGAUGACCCAGUCUCCAUCCUCCCUGUCUGCAUCUGUAGGAGACAGAGUCACCAUCACUUGCCGGGCGAGUCAGGGCAUUACUAAUGAUUUAGCCUGGUAUCAGCAGAAAACAGGGGAAACUCCUAAGCUCCUGAUCUAUGAGGCAUCCAGUUUGCAAAGUGGGAUUCCCUCUCGGUUCAGCGGCAGUGGAUCUGGGACGGAUUUCACUCUCACCAUCAGCAGCCUGCAGUCUGAAGAUUUUGCAACUUAUUAUUGUCAACAUUAUUACAGUACCCCUCCCACAGUGUUACAAGUCAUAACAUAAACCCCCAAGGAAGCAGAUGUGUGAGGCUGAGCCACCCCAGAUCCUCCUCCUG